AUACAGAGGGUGCGAGCGUUAAUCGGAAUUACUGGGCGUAAAGCGCGCGUAGGCGGCUUAUUAAGUCAGAUGUGAAAUCCCCGGGCUCAACCUGAGAACUGCAUCUGAUACUGGUAAGCUAGAGUUUUGGAGAGGGAAGUAGAAUUUCAGGUGUAGCGGUGAAAUGCAUAGAGAUCUGAAGGAAUACCAGUGGCGAAGGCGACUUCCUGGCCAAAAACUGACGCUGAGGUGCGAAAGCGUGGGUAGCAAACGGGAUUAGAAACCCUAGUAGUCC
rnacentral:rRNA from 1 species